CCAACAACAUUAGAUUGGUCUGCAAGAGUGCGUCUUGGAGGAGUUUGUCCAGCCAUCUCCUCUGCUCUUCGAACUAGUGAAGGUGAUACUGAUCUGUCAGGAGAAGGAAACAAAUCCCUAGAUGGGCGUCUGACUCUCCUUCUUCCCUUUGUCUCACUUAAGCCUUGAAGAAGAGGUUGCGUAUUUUUCUUACUCCUAGUAUGUCUAGUCUCCUACUGCAUGCACAAGAAACACAAACCCUAGUAGCACUUUUAUAUAAAAAUAAAAAAAAAUAAAAAAGAAAUAAAAAUAUAAAAACAAAAUAUAAAAUUUAGUCAGUUUACACUACUAGAUAAGUUAAACCACGAUUCCCCGGCAACGGCGCCAAAAACUUGUUAAGUCCCUGACAAGUGUACUAGAUCGUUAUCAAGUAAUAUAAAAUGGGUAAGUCCAAGUAUCAUUUCCCAAAGGACUCUUAGGCUUUAUUUUUCAUGUAAACCAAUUGCAUAAGACUUGAGAAGAAAUAGAAUUUAGGUUUUUCAAUGCAAAAACAAAAGUAAACAUGCAAAUGCAGUGAAUCAAUUGGCUAAAGAAACUAUGAAUGAAUGAAGUUGUUGGGGUUUACAAUUUCAUCUUAUCCACCCUCUUAUAUCUACUUUUCUUAUCUAGUUUGCUUAUUUAUCAUAUUGUCAUGCAAACUUUCUUGCUCUACCCUUAACCAAAUUCCUUGGCGAAAAGAGCCUAUUACUAAUUACCGGCUUGCUAUCCCUAGCCUCCCCUAGCAAUUAAUAAUGCAUGAUAAAGAGAAGCAAAAUACAUUUGAUCGUCCUACCCCUAUUCCUAGGCGGUAUUAGCAUAAUCAAGGAAUUCCCCCCAGUUCAUGACAUUAUUGUACGUUCCCGUAUCAAUAAAGACAAACAACAUUUACCGAAUGAGUUAAACGAUAAAAGCAUUAAGCAAAGGUAAGGAACCCAACAAUUGAUAAAGAUAAGCAUAUGCAAGCAUAUGAAGAAG
rnacentral:lncRNA from 1 species